rnacentral:rRNA from 1 species
UGCCAUGAUUACGCCAAGCUAUUUAGGUGACACUAUAGAAUACUCAAGCUAUGCAUCCAACGCGUUGGGAGCUCUCCCAUAUGGUCGACCUGCAGGCGGCCGCACUAGUGAUUGGGAAGAAAGCCUUGGGGCUAAUACCCUCGAGGAAGGACAUCACCCACAGAAGAAGCACCGGCUAACUCCGUGCCAGCAGCCGCGGUAAUACGGAGGGUGCGAGCGUUAAUCGGAAUUACUGGGCGUAAAGCGCGCGUAGGCGGUCUGAUAAGCCGGUUGUGAAAGCCCCGGGCUCAACCUGGGAGCGGCAUCCGGAACUGUCAGGCUAGAGUGCAGGAGAGGAAGGUAGAAUUCCCGGUGUAGCGGUGAAAUGCGUAGAGAUCGGGAGGAAUACCAGUGGCGAAGGCGGCCUUCUGGACUGACACUGACGCUGAGGUGCGAAAGCGUGGGUAGCAAACAGGAUUAGAUACCCUGGUAGUCCACGCCGUAAACGAUGUCGACUAGCCGUUGGGCUCCUUGAGAGCUUUGUGGCGCAGUUAACGCGAUAAGUCGACCGCCUGGGGAGUACGGCCGCAAGGUUA